GGGGUUGUAGCUCAGCGGUAGAGCGGUCGACUGCAGAUCGACAGGUCCCGAGAUCAAUCCUCGGCGGCCCCU